UGGGGAAUCUUCCGCAAUGGACGAAAGUCUGACGGAGCAACGCCGCGUGAGUGAAGACGGCCUUCGGGUUGUAAAGCUCUGUGAUUCGGGACGAAAGGCCAUAUGUGAAUAAUAUAUGGAAAUGACGGUACCGAAAAAGCAAGCCACGGCUAACUACGUGCCAGCAGCCGCGGUAAUACGUAGGUGGCAAGCGUUGUCCGGAAUUAUUGGGCGUAAAGCGCGCGCAGGCGGUCACUUAAGUCCAUCUUAGAAGUGCGGGGCUUAACCCCGUGAUGGGAUGGAAACUGGGAGACUGGAGUAUCGGAGAGGAAAGUGGAAUUCCUAGUGUAGCGGUGAAAUGCGUAGAUAUUAGGAAGAACACCGGUGGCGAAGGCGACUUUCUGGACGAAAACUGACGCUGAGGCGCGAAAGCGUGGGGAGCAAACAGG
rnacentral:rRNA from 3 species